GUGAGGAAUAUUGGUCAAUGGACGAGAGUCUGAACCAGCCAAGUCGCGUGAAGGAAGACGGUUCUAUGAAUUGUAAACUUCUUUUGUGCAGGAAUAAAUUGGGUUACGUGUAACCUUUUGUAUGUACUGUACGAAUAAGGAUCGGCUAACUCCGUGCCAGCAGCCGCGGUAAUACGGAGGAUCCGAGCGUUAUCCGGAUUUAUUGGGUUUAAAGGGUGCGUAGGUGGAUUGAUAAGUCAGCGGUGAAAGUUUGCAGCUUAACUGUAAAAUUGCCGUUGAAACUGUCGGUCUUGAGUGCAAAUGAGGUAGGCGGAAUGUGUUGUGUAGCGGUGAAAUGCUUAGAUAUAACACAGAACUCCGAUUGCGUAGGCAGCUUACUGGAGCGCAACUGACGCUGAGGCACGAAAGCGUGGGGAUCGAACAGGAUUAGAUACCCUGUAGUCC
rnacentral:rRNA from 1 species